GCUAGGCGCGGUGAUGCACGCCUGUAAUUUUAGCAGCUUGGGAGGCUGAGGCAGGAGGAUUGUGAGGUCAAAGCCAGCCUCAGCAGUGGCAAGGCACUAAGUAACUCAGUGUAACCCUGUCUCUA
rnacentral:sRNA from 1 species